AUGGGUCGGUCGCCCAGAAGUGAUUGCAGCGGCGUACCUCAACUCAAUAUUCCGCCAUGCUUCUAACUGCUGCACUUUUGGUUUUGUUAGCCACAACAGGGCACGCAGUACUGACGCCCACCACUGGCGAAGCUUCCAUGGGCAGCACUGGUCAAGUGGAGAGCAGAGGGCUUCCAGUAUGCCAGCCAACGUCGGAGUUCAAGUCCUGUGCAAGCAUCAAUUGCGGAGAAAAGACCUGCUUAGAAUUGCUGAAACCACCACAGCAGAAGCCUUGCAGUAGGGCCUGCGCAGCUAGCUGCUUCUGUCGGCCGGGAUACUAUAGGGACAGAUUCCGCCGCUGCGUAAAUGCCACAGAAUGCAAGCGAAUUGGACUAGCUUAGCACUAUAGCAUAGCGUCUGCAUGGUUAAGUUCUUACCUGUCAGUGGGUUCGUGCAAUGCUACAAGGCACCUAUUACAGGGAAUUUGGUUGUUGCAAUAAAGCUCAGCUCAUACUACUGUGCAACCGGA